rnacentral:tRNA from 1 species
GGGGAAUUAGCUCAAGUGGUAGAAUGCUUGCUUUGCAUGUGAGAGAUAGUGGGAUCAAUGCCCACGUUCUCCA